rnacentral:rRNA from 1 species
AACCUGGUUGAUCCUGCCAGUAGUCAUAUGCUUGUCUCAAAGAUUAAGCCAUGCAUGUCUAAGUAUAAACUUUAAUACGGUGAACCUGCAGAAGGAUCAAUACAACAUGUGAUAAAGUACAGAACUUUCGCGCGUAAGCGUCUUUGGAUAACCGCAGUAAAUCGGGGCUAAUACAUAUAAACGAAAGAUUAAUAGUUUCUACUGUUGAUUUUGCGAUUGUUAGUCAUUUCAAAACUAGCCUCUUCGGAGUUAGUGGUGAAUCCGAACAAUAUUGCUGAUCGAAAUUUAUUUCGACGAGUUCUAUCUGUCACUGCCCUAUCAACUUUCGAUGGUACGGUAUUGGCCUACCAUGGUUGUAACGGGUAACGGGGAAUCAGGGUUCGAUUCCGGAGAGGGCGCCUGAGAAAUGGCGACCACUUCUACGGAAGGCAGCAGGCGCGCAAAUUACUCAAUCCCAAUACGGGGAAGUAGUGACAAUAAAUACUAAUUUCUUUCCAUUUUAUGGAGGAAAAUUGGAAUAAGUACAACGUAAAUAGCUUAACCAAAGUAAUUGGAGGGCAAGUCUGGUGCCAGCAGCCGCGGUAAUUCCAGCUCCAAUAGCGUAUACUAAAUUUGUUGCAGUUAAAAAGCUCGUAGUUCAGAUAAAGGUUGUUCGGGUCAAGGUGUCUUUAUAAAAUAAGCAUCUGAUUCUAUCUAAUUUAUUAGUUUAGUAUCACCGACAACUUUAUUUAGGGUCUGUUAUCAAUUUAUUGGUGAUUUGAUCUAUCCACUGUGAGAAAAUUGUAGUGUUUAAAGCAAGCGUUUCUGCUUGUUCAAUGCAGCAUGGUAUGGUAAAAUAGGACACUUAACAAUUGUUGGUUUUUUGUUGAAGUGUAAUGACUAAUAGGGAAGGGCGGGAUCGUACAUAUUGAUGGGCGAGAGGUGAAAUUCGUUGACCCUAUCAAGAUGCACUACAGCGAAAGCAUUCGAUAAGUACUUCUCCAUUAAUCAAGAACGAAAGUUUGGGGAUCGAAGACGAUCAGAUACCGUCGUAGUCCAAACUAUAAACUAUGUCGACCAGGGAUCGGAUAGAUUAAAUUUCUAACUCUAUUCGGAACCUUGUGAGAAAUCAUGAGUGUUUGGACUCUGGGGGGAGUAUGGUCGCAAGGCUGAAACUUAAAGGAAUUGACGGAAGGGCACACAAUGGAGUGGAGCCUGCGGCUUAAUUUGACUCAACUCGGGAAAACUUACCAAGCUCAGAUAUAAUAAGGAUUGACAGACUAAAAGAUCUUUCAUGAUUGUAUAAGUGGUGGUGCAUGGUCGUUCUUAGUUGGUGGAGUGAUUUGUCUGGUCAAUUCCGAUAACGGACGAGACGUCUACUUACUAAAUAGUAGGAUUUAUGGGUCAAUAUGUGGGAUAGGUCUUAGGGGUUUGUAUAUAUUUCCAAAAGAUUUGUAUGCUACCACUAUGGCUGUGUAGCACGACUCUUUAAAUUCGAGUAAAAAACUAAACUUCUUAGAAGGACUACCCACCUCAAGUGGGGGGAAGUCGGACGCAAUAACAGGUCUGUGAUGCCCUUAGAUACCUUGGGCUGCACGCGCGCUACAAUGUAGAGAUGAAAAAGGUUUCCGGGUACCGGAAGGUAUCGGUAAUCAUUUGAAUACUCUACGUGAUAGGGAUUGAUCUUUGUAAUUAUCGAUCAUCAACGAGGAAUUCCUUGUAAGCGUAAGUCAUUACCUUACGCUGAAUAGGUCCCUGCCCUUUGUACACACCGCCCGUCGCUCCUACCGAUCGAACGAUUAGGUAAAACUGACGGACGGUGAACCUGCAGAAGGAUCAUUAGUCAACACUCGUGUUGAUCCUGCUCAGUAGAUACGAUAUGCUUGUCUCCAAAGAUAAGCCAGGCA